rnacentral:lncRNA from 1 species
CUCAUUUCCUGUUGCUUUUCACCUUCUUCGAAGAGCUGAAACUGCUGAGAAAGUGGCUUAGGUGCAAGAGGAGUGAGGAGCAUUAAAGCUGGCAGCUGGAAGAGGAGCCAUGCAGGCACAGCUGAAGGAGUGCAAGGAGCCAUGAGUGAGAGCAGGAAGAGAAGUGAGGUGCAGCUAGGAGUGGACGUGUGUGAAAAAUUACCCUGCUGAAACUACACUAAUCGCAGCACACAAUAUGUAUACUUGCAAGCACAGUGUGCAAAGUCUGACCCUGCCAGUUUUAGGGGUUGAGGAAAUACAACAAGCAAAGACUGUGCAAAGACUUCACUGAUCAAUGUGCAGCCCUCCUGGACU